UGAGUUUGACUUUGAGUCAAUACCGUCAGUAAUUACAACGGAGGGAACGCCAACAUUUGAACACGUUAGAUAUACAUUAGCAUAGAUUAGCAUUGUUGCAGAUUAAACAAGGUCACCGAGAGCCUUGACUUUUAGUAAAAAAAAAAUUAAAUUAAACCAUAAAAUUUCUCCACAACUGUAAGAUAGAUUUUCAAAAGGAAAAUUCAAUUUUACGACCCAGUAUUUAACAUUGGAUACUGCCAAUCGAAUCAAAGCGUUCGUAUUUACGUGCUAUGUCUAAAUAAAGAAAAAUCCACGUAUUAACGGUCCACAGUUAAAACGAGAAGUUAUUUGCCGCCAGUUGUCAAAGGAUACCAAAAAGAAUGGCUCAAUUUUAAAGAAAGAAUUUGAUAUUACAAUACCUACAUAGAUAACAAAUUUUAUUGGACUGAUUUUAAAAUAGUUAAAUGUUUAAAAAAAAACUAAUUUAGUUACUAUCUUAUGUAAUUAUUGGUAGUUUGCGCACAUGUGUUCUUACCAAUAUAUUGCCUCAAAACAGUCAAGUGUUCCAGUUUAAAGGAAUUAAACUAAAAUUUGACAUAAUAGAGAUGAGGAGGAUAAAGACAGCAAACAGAAGAUUUUAAUCAUAUCAUAUUAUUGAUAGGUCAAUCUCAGUCAAAUUUAUUAAAUACAUGAUUAGAUUUUCAUUCUCAGAUUCCGUUAAGUACUUUAAGGUACAAUAUAUACUUAUUGUCAGAAUUCACACACUCAUAUUUGGUUUAUAUCGUACUAUCUUCUGAAUUAUAAAUUUAGCAAGCUGUUGUUUAUACGCAGCACUUAGUAAAAGACUAUAGCCGAGACUGUUUUUAAGCAACACAUAAUAAUUAGAAUAUCUGUCCUCGUUACUGUAAAAUGGUGAUUUUAUGAAACUUCCAAAAAGUACUCCAACACUGUAUUACUUUUUUUUAUAAUAAAUAAACAUCAUAUUUUAUUAUAUGCCUUACCA